UACGAAGGGAGCUAGCGUUGUUCGGAAUCACUGGGCGUAAAGCGCACGUAGGCGGAUUUGCCAGUCAGGGGUGAAAUCCCGGGGCUCAACCUCGGAACUGCCUUUGAUACAGCAAGUCUUGAGUUCGAGAGAGGUGGGUGGAAUUCCUAGUGUAGAGGUGAAAUUCGUAGAUAUAGGGAAGAACACCGGUGGCGACGGUGGCCCACUGGCUCGACACUGACGCUGAGGUGCGAAAGCGUGGGGAGCAAACAGG
rnacentral:rRNA from 1 species